rnacentral:rRNA from 1 species
GAGUCCGAUAAGGGCGUCAGUCGCAUGCUCUAGACCCGAAGCGGUGUGAUCUAUCCAUGGCCAGGAUGAAGCGUCGGUAAGACGUCGUGGAGGUCCGAACCCACUUCAGUUGAAAAUGGAGGGGAUGAGCUGUGGAUAGGGGUGAAAGGCCAAUCAAACUCCGUGAUAGCUGGUUCUCCCCGAAAUGCAUUUAGGUGCAGCGUUGCGUGUUUCUUGUUGGAGGUAGAGCGACUGGAUGGUUUAGCGGGACUAUCAUCUUAGCGACAUCAGCCAAACUCCGAAUGCCAGCAAGGUGAGAGCGUGGCAGUGAGACUGCGGGGGAUAAGCUCCGUGGGUCGAGAGGGAAACAGCCCAGAUCGCCGGCUAAGGCCCCUAAG